CGGCGAUGGCGAGGUGGCGGAGCUGCUACGGCUGCUGCUGCACUCGCGGACGGAGGAAGAAGAGAGGGAGGAGCGGGCGACAGAGUGGAGUGGCCUGGGGGCGCGAGGCGGCGUCCCGACCAGAUGAAGGCGGGUCGGCCGCGGCGCGUCCAACGCCGGCGUACAGCCGCCACGUGGCCAGUGCCGGGUGGAGCGAGGCGGGCGCCGCACGCGGGAGAGAGAGGGGAGGGGAAGCAGGCCGCGCUGUCUGGCUGGGCCGAAAGGGAGGUGGGUCGGCCCAGCAGCGCCUGUCCCCUUUUCUUUUUUUUUAUUUUCUUUUUGUCGAGGAUAUCAGUAAGGGGUAUCCUAACUGAUGCACAUAAUGAGAUUAUCCGUACGUAGGUCGAGGCCCUCAACUCGACGCUCUAGUCAGUCGUACGUGUAGUCAUCGACAACCGCAGCCUCGAAGACGGAAAAGGCGUCGAGCGAACCGAUCAGGGCUCGAGCGCCGCUACCGUCGAAUACGGAAAUAGGCUCGAGCGAACCAGG
rnacentral:lncRNA from 1 species